UCUUUAUAUAUAUAGAAUCUGGUACUGGGCCGUACAUGUUGUACGGAUAUGAAUAGAUUUGGAAGAUGAGGUACUGAUUUGUAGUUAAGUUCAUUUAUUGUUGUCAGGUUCCUAGUUUCUGUGGCAUUGAUAAACACUCUCUUAAACCCUAAAACCUCUUAGGGUCAAUUUAUUUUUUACUUUUAUUUAUCUCCUUGAAGCAUGGAUUAUUAUGAAGAUUGAUCUGCAAGAUUAAACAGCGUAGCGAUUGCACACAGGUGAAGAUGCUGUUGAGGAACCAGGGAAUAGUAUUGACUUACAAUUCAAGGUGUUGGUACAUUUUAAUCAAUUCAAGGAAGUUGGCUUCAUUUUCUAAUGGCCCUCCUUCAGAUUCGGGUGGGAAAUCUCAUCUCUGUAAUGAAGGGGUCAAUCAAGAAAACUCGAGGAAUUUUGAUGGUGUGAGACGGGGAGUAGAUGACGUGUGCCAUGUUUUGGAAAGUGGUUCUUGGGGACCAUCCCUUGAGAAUUCUUUGUCAAUGUUUAAUGAAAAACCUCAACCUGAGUUGGUUAUUGGAGUGUUAAGGAGGUUGAAAGAUGUUAAUCAAGCAGUGAAUUAUUUCCGUUGGGUCGAGAGGAAAAGUGAGGAACCACUUAGUCCGGAAGCUUAUAAUUCACUUCUUAUGGUGAUGGUUAGAACUAGGAAUUUUGAUUACUUAGAGCAGAUUCUGGGAGAGAUGAGUAUUGCAGGAUUUGGCCCUACUAAUUACACUUGCGUGGAGUUAGUUGCGAGCUGUGUUAAAUCACGGAAGCUUAUAGAAGCUUUUGAUCUCCUGCAAAUGAUGAGGCAUUUUAAAUUUCGCCCGGCGUUUUCUGCUUAUACAACUUUGAUCGGUGCUUUGUCUGAAGUAGGUGAAUCUGAUCGCAUGCUUGCUCUUUUCAAUCAAAUGCAAGAGCUGGGUUACGAAGUGAAUGUGCAUUUGCUUACGACUCUAAUUCGUGUGUUUUCCAGGGAGGGUCGUGUUGAUGCUGCUCUCUCCCUACUGGAUGAAAUGAAGAGCAACACUUUUGAUGCUGAUAUUGUGCUUUAUAAUGUUUGCAUAGACUGCUUUGGUAAGGUGGGAAAGGUGGAUAUGGCUUGGAAAUUUUUUCAUGAGAUGAAGGCAAAUGGUUUAGUGCCUGAUGAUGUGACUUAUACUAGCAUGAUGGGUGUUCUAUGCAAAGCCAACAGACUUGAUGAAGCCGUGGAGAUAUUUGAGCAGAUGGAGCAAAACAGACAAGUUCCAUGUGCGUAUGCUUACAACACCAUGAUUAUGGGUUAUGGAUCAGCUGGAAAGUUUGACGAGGCAUACAGUUUGCUUGAGAGGCAAAGGGCAAAAGGGUGCAUUCCAAGUGUGGUUGCGUAUAAUUGCAUUCUUACUUGCCUUGGGAAGAAGGGAAAAACAGACAAGGCAUUAAGAAUUUUUGAGGAGAUGAAGAGAGAUGCAAUGCCCAAUCUUCCAACAUAUAACAUUAUAAUAGGCAUGCUUUGCAAGGCUGGAAAUGUCGAGGCUGCUUUCAAGGUUCGGGAUGCCAUGAAAGAGGCUGGCUUGUUUCCUAAUGUCAGAACCAUAAACAUAAUGAUCGAUAGGCUGUGUAAAGCUCAAAAGCUUGAUGAAGCUUGUUCAAUAUUUGAAGGAAUGGAUCAUAAAGUUUGCUCCCCAGAUGGUGCUACAUUCUGUUCGCUUAUAGAUGGUUUGGGCAAGCAAGGUAGAGUGGAUGAUGCUUACAGGAUUUAUGAACGGAUGCUGGAUGCUGAUCAAAUUCCAAAUGUUGUUGUUUAUACAUCCCUCAUCAGAAAUUUCUUCAAGUGUGACAGGAAGGAGGAUGGUCACAAGAUGUACAAAGAAAUGAUGCGUAGUGGAUGUUCUCCUGACCUCAUGCUCCUGAAUACCUACAUGGAUUGUGUUUUCAAGGCUGGUGAAACUGAGAAAGGCAGGGCUUUGUUUGAGGAAAUAAAGGCUCGAGGGUUUCUUCCUGAUACAAGAAGCUAUUCGAUCCUAAUCCAUAGCCUUGUGAAAGCUGGUUUCGCACGGGAAACCUACGAGUUAUAUUAUGCAAUGAAGGACCAGGGCUGUGUUUUGGACACCCGUGCAUACAACACUGUUAUUGAUGGGUUCUGCAAGUCAGGUAAGGUGAACAAAGCUUAUCAGCUACUGGAGGAAAUGAAGACAAUGGGCCACCAUCCAACUGUUGUGACCUAUGGUUCUGUCGUCGAUGGCCUCGCUAAAAUUGAUAGACUUGAUGAAGCAUACAUGCUCUUCGAGGAAGCAAAGUCGAAUGGCAUAGAGUUAAAUCAGGUGAUCUAUAGUAGUCUUAUUGAUGGUUUUGGAAAAGUUGGUAGAGUUGAUGAAGCAUAUCUAGUUAUGGAAGAAAUGAUGCAGAAAGGUUUAACGCCCAAUGUAUACACAUGGAAUUGCUUGCUGGAUGGAUUGGUGAAAGCCGAGGAAAUUAAUGAGGCCCUUGUCUGCUUUCAGUCCAUGAAAGACUUGAAAUGCACUCCGAAUCAGAUAACUUAUUGCAUUCUCAUAAAUGGCCUCUGUAAGGUUAGGAAAUUUAACAAGGCCUUUGUGUUUUGGCAAGAGAUGCAAAAGCAGGGGUUAAAACCCAAUACCAUCACCUACACUGCCAUGAUCUCUGGACUUGCAAAGUCUGGAAAUGUUGCACAGGCAAGUAGUCUAUUUGAGAGAUUUAGGGCAAGUGGGGGAAUACCUGAUUCUGCUAGUUAUAAUGCUAUGAUAGAAGGGCUGAGCAUCGCAAAUAGGGCUCUGGACGCAUAUCAACUUUUUGAGGAAACUCGGUUGAAGGGUUGCAGUAUUCAUACCAAGACUUGUGUUGCACUUUUGGAUGCACUGCAUAAGGCCGAAUGUCUUGAGCAGGCGGCAAUAGUGGGGGCUGUUUUGAGGGAAACAGCAAAAUCUCAACAUGCUGUAAGAUCUUGGUAAUAUCAGGUGGUUUUUUUUUUUGGUUCUGAGGGACAGGCCAUUGUGGCUAACCUGGCAACUGCUUGGUGGCAUAGCAGUGAUCAAUUCACUGGGUGGAUGAGUUACAUGUAAUUCCUUACUUCCUAACAUCCUUAACGGAGCCACACUUGCUUCUUGCAGCAGUAAUUGUAUUGACUUCAUGCUGCAUUGGUGCAAGUUGAUGCCGAAUUUGUACAUUUGAUGCCCACAGCUGACAUCAUACAUGAUAAUAUCUUUGAAUACUUCAUUGUCUUGCUGAUCAGCAACAUCAGAUUGUGUCCAGAACCGACAGUACAAGCAGAAUGCUCAUUUUUGUUCAUCCACUGAUUAAAGGGGUACAUAUAUCUGAGUUUCCUUCUUGGAUUUGUCCUCCAACAGGGAUGUUUCUUGUAUCAUGAUGAAGUUUUUUCAAUCCUCACAUAAUUAUGAGGUGGCAUGUUUCAGUUCAAAUAAAUAGCUUGAAUGCCAACGUAGAAUAAGUAUUGGGCCAUUUUUUUUCUGCACUAAUUAUAUUUUUACUGUAAUCUUAGAGAAAGGCAAGAGGUCCAAGGAAUAGUUAGUUACAUUUUAUAAUCUGGCAAGAGCAAAACUUGCAACCUCAGCUGCUAUAGACGCAGAUCUAUGCUAACUGGAAUGGCAGCGGUAUGGGAUUUGAUACUUUUCAACUGAUAAUGCUUCAAUACAGUUUUUGUUGCUCGCACUA